rnacentral:rRNA from 1 species
AUGCUGUCGGACGGCGGCGACGACGACAGCUCCGCCCCCGCGCGGUUCGAGCUGCAGGAGGACCCCUCCUUCUGGAAGGACAACAACGUGCAGGUCGUGAUUCGUGUCCGGCCGCUCAGCAGCAGCGAGAUAUCGGUGCAGGGGGACAAGAGGUGCGUCAGGCAGGACAGCGGCCAGAGCAUCACCUGGACCUGCCACCCGGAGUCCCGGUUCACCUUUGAUCUAGUCGCCGAUGAGCACAUCACGCAGGAGAGUCUUUUCAAGGUUGCUGGGGUGCCCAUGGUGGAGAACUGCAUGGCUGGCUAUAACAGCUGCAUGUUUGCCUAUGGGCAGACCGGUAGUGGCAAGACCCACACGAUGCUUGGGGACAUAGAAAAUGGCACACGGGGAAACAAUGAGAACUGUGGUAUGACGCCUCGAGUGUUUGAGCAUCUCUUCCUAAGAAUCCAGAAGGAAAAGGAAAUACGAAGAGAUGAAAAGCUCAGUUUUACUUGCAAGUGCUCAUUCCUGGAGAUAUAUAAUGAGCAGAUUCUGGAUUUGCUCAAUCCAAAUGCAACAAACUUACAGUUAAGGGAGGAUGCGAAAAGGGGUAUGCAUGUUGAGAAUCUGACUGAACAUGAGGUUUCUAAUGCCCGAGAAGCACUGCAACAACUUAUCGAGGGGGCAGCAAACAGAAAGGUGGCAUCUACCAAUAUGAACCGAGCAAGUAGCCGUUCUCAUAGUGUAUUCACUUGUCUUAUAGAGAGCAAGUGGGAAUCUCAAGGUAUCAAGCAUCAUCGAUUUUCUCAUCUUAACCUUGUUGACCUUGCUGGCUCAGAGAGGCAAAAGAGUUCAGGUGCAGAAGGGGAACGCUUGAAGGAAGCUUCGAACAUCAACAAGUCACUCUCAACCUUAGGACAUGUUAUUACCAGCCUUAUUGCUGUGUCAAACAAAAAGUCACAGCAUGUUCCCUACCGAGAUUCAAAAUUGACAUUUCUGCUGCAGGACUCACUUGGAGGUAACUCCAAGACCACUAUAAUUGCAAAUAUAAGCCCAUCUAGCUGCUGUGCAGCUGAGACAUUGAGCACAUUAAAAUUCGCGCAACGGGCUAAGCACAUACGGAAUAAUGCUAUUAUAAAUGAGGAUGCCUCUGGUGAUGUGCUGAGCAUGCGUUUAGAGAUCCAACAUCUCAAGAAAGAGCUUAGUCGCCUGCAAGGACAAUCUGGAUUUACUAACAAUGGAUUUGUCUGCGAGUCCCCUAGCGCAUUCAAAUGGGAUCAAGCUAAUGGCACAUUCAGUCCACUUAUGUUUGAUAAGAGAGCUACACAGAGGAGAGAUUAUGAUAUUACACUUGCCGCUGCAUUUAGGAGGGAGCAGGAAAAAGAAGCAAAGCUAAAGGCAGCAAUUGCUGCAAAGCAGAUUGCCGAAGAGCUGGUGACUCAAAGAUCAGAAGAGGUGAGAAGUUUCAGGAUGAGGCUUCGCUUUCGUGAAGAUCGAAUCAAGAGAUUGGAGCAAGUUGCAUCGGGGAAGUUAUCCGCUGAAGCACAUCUCUUGCAAGAAAAGGAAGACCUCAUGAAGGAAAUUGAAGCUCUACGGAACCAACUAGAACGAAAUCCAGAAAUUACAAGAUUUGCUAUGGAAAAUCUACAACUGAAGGAGGAGAUUCGAAGGUUGCAGUCAUUUGUUGAUGAAGGAGAAUUGGAAAGAAUGCAUCAGCAGAUAAAUGUUUUAGAACAUCAGCUCCUAGAAGCACUUGACUGGAAACUUAUGAAUGAGAAGGAUCCUGUUAACAAGGACCUCUCACUAUUUGGGGAGGAAGCUGGUGAUGAGAAAAACGAGUUUCUUCUUGUGCAGGCUAUCCAAAAUGAGAGAGAAAUCGAGUCACUACGUAAAAAUUUGAGCGUCUGUCUUCAAGCAAAAGAGAAACUCGAGAGGCGUGUUGAUGAUUUGACUGUGGAGUUGGAGGUAGCGAAGAAAUGCGACCAUGAGAACAAAGAAUUUAAGGCUGCACAGCACCAGGAACAGUCCGUCUUGCUUGAUGCUCAGACAGAACUUAAGACAUUGGUAGAUGCAAUAGCAACUGCAAGUCAAAGAGAAGCAGAAGCUCAUGAAACUGCAAUUGGGUUGGCCAAAGAGAAUGAGAAAUUGAGAACAGAGCUUACGACCCUGAUCGAGGAUAACAAGAGACUGGUUGAUCUCUAUGAACAGGCUAUUGUCAACAUUGAGGUGAAACAACAUGGAAAUUAUCCUUCCAUUCCUCAAACUGAAGAUUCGAAUGAGCAGCAGAGCAGCCAUCCUUCUAAUGGAGGGAAUAGCCUGCUGGAUGACCAACCAGAGGGUGCAUAUGGUUCACGUAGUGAUGCUGUAGAAGAGCCUAUGAUAGUGGAUGAAAACUGCAGCCACAAGGAUGACCCUUCGAGAUCUGAAUUUUCAGAACUGCAGCUUCAACUGGAAGAGAUGCAUGAAGAAAAUGAUAAACUUAUGAGUUUGUAUGAGAAAGCAAUGCAAGAAAGGGAUGAAUUUAAAAGGAAAUUUUCUGAGCAAAGCAAUCAUGAAACCACAGAAGACGUUCAGUUCAGAGAUGCUGAAAUGGAUGAAGCAAUGGAUACCAUGCAAAGCAAUCCUGAAACUACAGAAGACAUUCAGUUCAGAGAUGCUGAAAUGGAUAGUAUGCUAAGCAAUCUUGAAAGUUCAGAAGACAUUCAGUUCAGAGAUGCUGAAACCGAUGCUGAGGGUUUCCAAGGAGAGCAUGUACAUGACUCUCCAAUUGUAGCUUUCAAAGAAGCGAUGCAGCUUGUCCGUGUCAAGCUGGAGCAUGUCCAAGACAAGCUUGUGACUGCCCAGGAUGCAGUGCAAUAUUUCAAGCUACUUGAAAUGGCUAGCACCAAGGCAGAAGAACUUUCAUCAAGCAUUCAGCUCUGCUGUCUAGAUGUCCAGAAAGAGCAGGAAGACAUCAACGCCCUCAAGUCCGCACUGUCAAUAUCACACGAGAGAGAAAACGCUUUGGAAGGCAAGUUUUUCUCGCCUGUGGCAUCAUGCCAGGACUUGCAUUUGAAAACCGAAGCCCUUGCCGGGUCCAAGUUUGGCGUCAAUGUUCAAUCAAUGAAUAAAAAGAUGGAGCAGUUGAGUAGGUUGAGAACUCGCAAAACCGAGAUUUCCGCUGCACGUGCAGAGGCACGCAGGUCUGAAACCGAGCUGAGAAACAAAAUCGAUGGCCUUAAACAGAAAUACCGUUCCUUCGAGGCCCAAAGGAAGGAGACAGAAAGGGUUCUCUUCGCCAUCGACAACCUGGAGUGCCCCGCGACUCCGUUGCAGAAGCCCAUGAAUUUCGGCAAGGCGUCGGAGCUGCUGAAGUCCGAGGAGGAGAGGACAAAGCUCUUGUCUGAACUGAAGAAGUUCCGCGAGCAGCUUAGCGUGGUGCAGAAGGAGAUCAAGAGCAUGAGGAACUGCGACGACAUCGACGGUGAGAUGUCGCGCCUUGAAUCGGAGAUGGAGGGCUGCUUCCUCUCCCUGCUGGAAGCCGAGACCGAGAAGUUUGUGCGGGAUCACACCUUGGCCGAAGUCUGGGAGGUUCAGCAGAAGGACUUGCCGAGCCUACUGGUCGACUACCAGGACAGCGUUUUCCAUGUGAAGCUGGAGGAGGAGCAGAUCAGGGUGUGCGAGGCGUCGUUGCAGCACCAGACGACGUCCCUGGACGAGAUGAACUCGAAGCUGAGCCAGGCGAUGCGGGACCUCGGCGAGCUUCUGGUUGCCAGAGGUUUGGACGCCUCCACGCCGCACGUCUCCGACAAGGUGAAGGGGGACCUCGACGCCAUCGAGGCCCAUGUCGCCGAGGCCAGGCAGCUCUUGCUCGUCGACAACCAAUAA